UUUUAAAAAAAAAAAUUAUCUUAUAAACUUAAAUUAACAUUUUAAAUUAAACUGAAAAGGAAUUAUUUCUUUUUUAAAAGAAAAAUUAUGUUCCUUUAGUAUCAGGAUUUUUCUAAUUUUUUUAAAAUUUAAAAAUUCCCGAAAAUAUAUGAUCUAUCAAUUUUUAUAAUCUUUAUUUCAAAAAAUUAUUAAAACAAUUUAUAGAAACUAAACAUUUACGUAUAUAUUAUAUCUGGUUAAAAAAAAGAAAAAAAUUUUUAAACAAAACUAUGUAAAACAAAUUACAAAGUUAAUUUAUUUAAUUUUUAAAAAAAAAUAAAGAAUUAUAGUAUUUAAAUAGUUUAAUAACUAACUUUAAUGAUUUAAUUAAACCAUAAUAUUUUUUUUUACUCCAUAUAAAACUCUAAUGAUAAAAUAAGUAAACUAACCACUUUUUUUAUAAGAACUCAUCUAAAAUUAAGUGACUGUUUAACAAAAACAUUUUUAUUAGAAAAUAAUUAAUAAUAAAAUCUGCUCAAUGAUAAAUUAAAUAGCCGCUUUUGUGCUAAGGUAGCAUAAUAAUUUGUCUUUUAAUUGAAGACUAGAACAAAAGAUUUAACAUCUUAAUUAAUCUUUUUAAAAAAAAUCAUCUAAAUUAUUUUAAUUGUAAAAAAACAAUUAUAAAACAGAAAGACGAUAAGACCCUAUCGAACUUUACUUUAGUUCAACUGGGGCAGUUAAUUAAUUAUUAUUUUAAAAUUAAUAAAUUCUAAAUUUGACCUAAUAUUAUUAAUAAAAUAAUUAAGUUACCGUAGGGAUAACAGCGUAAUUAAACUUAUAAGAUCUUAUUUAAAAUAUAGAUUGCGACCUCGAUGUUGAUUUAAUAUCCUAUUUCACGCAAUAGUGAAAAAAGGAAGUCUGUUCGACUUUAAAAAAAUUACAUGAUUUGAGUUCAGACCGGUGUAAACCAGGUCGGUUUCUAUCUUCUAGUAAAAUUUCUUCUAGUACGAAAGGACCUAAGAAA
rnacentral:rRNA from 1 species